rnacentral:rRNA from 1 species
CUCCUACGGAGGCAGCAUGGGGAAUCUUGCACAAUGGACGAAAGUCUGAUGCAGCAACGCCGCGUGGGGGAUGAAGCUUUUCGGAGUGUAAACCCCUUUCGACCCGGAAGAAUGCCGCAAGGGUUUGACGGUACGGGUAUAAGAAGCCCGGCUAACUACGUGCCAGCCGCCGCGGUAAUAC